GGAAAUGACCCCAUGGUGGAAUUAAAUAAGGCAGUACAAAUGGAGCUUUGGAUUCUAGAUACUUCUCCGUGCUUUGUCUUUACAAAUCAAUAAAACCCUUACUGCCAGAACUCCUCACUGGCCGUGAUUCUGCCCGCCAGAUCUGAUGUUCCAUUACUUGUUCCGUUAGCAAUCCCCGAAGGCAGAAGAAGACCUGUCAUGUUUACACCUGUAGUGUUGUAGCCCAUCGUGGUGUUGACUGUAGAAUUGGUCCAAACACUUUCCCCACGAACAUAACAAUUUUCUGUGUUCCAGGCAUUAUUGCAGGUACUCCAGGGUAGUACAGCCCGCAGGGAGUGGUACAGGAAGUAGAUGGUCCAUGUUAUGAUGAUGUUGUAGUACACACACACAAUACCAGAGAUUAUGACCAUGCCAUAGCCCACACCUGGAAUAGCACAAAAAAAAUAUUCUGGAAUUACAUUUUGAUUGUCAGUUGAACUCUAUCUGUAUGAAGUACCAAACAAAACAUUCAAUUGGUUUCAGUAGUUCAAUACAUAUUUAUGAUAGACUACUUUGUAGAAUAUCUUAUUUUAAGGUUGGGUAGAGCUAAGUAACAGGGGCUGUGGCUGCAUGAUACAGCCUGUGUGACUGUGUGUGUGUGUGUGUAUUUUUGGUGUUUUUUAUUUUGUAUUGUGCAAUUCGUUCAAUCUUAAAAAGCACACACUAGUCCCAUCUUGAAAAAUUAUCAAUAUUCUAUAUUUAGUACUAUCUGAACCUUGAAGGAGUGGGCUUCCUUCCGCUUUUAAAUCAACAAUUUUAUGAUCGACACACUGAUAUCCCCAUUUUCAUUUUAUCAUAAUACCGUAAUAAAUCUUUCUUUCUUUUUUAUAUGUAUACACUUGUUUAAUGUAAAAAUCCAAGAAAUAAAUCAGUAAUAAUCU
rnacentral:sRNA from 1 species